AAAUAAUGCAAGUUUUGGAAGCAGGAGAAUAUUCGCUGAACAUUUUGGAUGUGACAACCUGCUAGAAAUUGAGAAGUACAGACAGACAACUAUAAAUUUCAGGGAAUUUUUUGUUUAAGCAUCAUGGCAAACCGACAGGAACCUUCGGACAUCGUGAAGAGGGUACAAUCACAGACCACCUCUUCUGCGCCGCCUCCUGCUCCUGGGAACCCUACAGCCUCUUAUCGUCGAGAACCACAGGAGAGACAAAACCCUCCAAAUUACCAAGGACAGUACAACCAGGGCGGUUGGCAGCACCACCAGGGCGGUGGGCAGCACCACCAGGGCGGUGGGCAGCACCAACAGGACCAUUCGCGGUGUCGACAUGAAGGCGGGUGGUGUAUUUAUGAACAAGGGCAGCAGUCUUAACAUAAAGACGAAAGGAACACAAUGUUCUGCUGUAUGAGAGACUCAUCUUCUAUUAUGCCACAACACACAUGUACACCUUCUUGAGAAGGAUGGCAGUAACCAUGGUCACAGCUAUCAACCUCUCCAAUCAACCUCCUUGGCCCACACCCCAACCUCUUCUUGAUCAACUGUUUCAAGAUGCUAUCAUAUAAUCCAGUUCUCCAGUUCUGGAAAAAACAUUAUGACAAUUCCAACUUGAUUUUAUGAUUUGCAAUGGCUAAAGCAUUGGUCUCAUCCGACCUGCCCGCGUACAUGCUUUGCGGGUGUACGUGGCCCUUCGUGGGUGGCCCCCGUGCCCUAAGCAAAUUUGCCGCGUUAUUUGCAGGACAAGCUGCGAAAUAGGAUUUGCGCAUGAGUCUUCGUCUUAUCGCUGGAGAAGAGAUGGUGAUUCCACCACAGCAGGUGAUCACCACUGUCCCCAUUGUCUUGCCCGCAUUCAAGAAACACCUGUGCCCCACUGAGGUACUACCUACACACUGCCCAAGUGAACAACUCGUCACAUCACCUGUGUCCGGUCCAUGUAGAAUUUGUCCCUGUAGAAAAUCAACUGCUUUACAAGUGUGCUACGCCUAUAUGGGUUGUAUGAAAACUAACUGCCCUACUAGAGCGCUACGCCUAUGUGUGUCGGAUGAGACUGUGGUUUGAGAUCAGAAGACAUUUCUUGUAAAUUUUGGGGUUUAGUUUGGGGUGUUCUGCAAUCGCUACACAAGUGGUUCAAUAUCUAAAUACAGUACUUCAAUUCUCUUGUAAAAUCUUGCUUUAAAGGCAGGGUAUAGACCCAUUGCAUAUGACAUCACACUCUCAAAAAGAAGGCAGAUCAUUGGACAAUAGCUGCUCUCUGUGCGUAAAAACGUGCAUGUGACCUCAGCGUACCUGUAGCAUUUCGCAUUCUUCAAGGGCGAGCUAUUGAUUUCUUACACAAUACAGAAUGUGCCUCCGAACAAUGUGCGUAAUUUUGGGUGUCAACUCUGUUUUGUGCAUGUUUGUAUAUGAUUUUGACACCCAAAAUAACACCCAGGGUAUGCACAUGUGAGUACGCUGCGCGUAUUGCAAACAAGGGGUCUAUACUCUCGGUAAUUUUCCCAGCAUACUUUCGGAGCAUCCUGCAUACACAAAGCAAUAUCAAAAAACAAAGCUGCGAUAAUUUGGGGUAAAUUGUUCAUAAAAAGUUGCAUGUCAAUAAUGAAAGUAAAAACACCCUUUAUGCAUAGAAUUGAGUGCUUUCAGACGCCUGGAAAAGCUUUGUGCCUUUUUACAUACACAUUUUGGGGUGAAAAUUGCCUCUUUCUCUAAAACUCCACAAUAUUUUACAACAUGUAAUAUCAACAGCUCUCCAGUGCUCUUUACCGAUUAUGUGUUUAUGGUCAUUAACUUGUAGAGCAGAAACCAAAAGUAUACCCUUUCUUAAAACAUGUGAAAUCUAGCAGUAUUCCCAAAAAGCACAUUAUAUUGUGCCUUGUUACAGGUGCACUGUGACAUGUACAUGUACAAUAAGUACCAAUUGCCAGCCAUGUAUUUUGUUUAGAAAUGGCAGCUGUAUAAGAAGUUGUGCCUUCAACAUUGUGUCCAGCUUAAAACAGAUUAGUUUGUGUAAGCCCUGAACCGCAGCCCCCACCUCAAAAAAUAAUAAUACAAAUUAUUGUCAUACAUGUAAAAGUCUGAUUGUUUGUGAGAGAUAAAAAAUAAAUGUUUGGUAUAAAUUGAAGCUUA